rnacentral:rRNA from 1 species
GACGUAGGAUGCAAGCGUUGUCCGGAUUUAUUGGGCGUAAAGAGUUCGUAGGUGGUUUGUUAAGUCUGAUGUUAAAGACUGGGGCUCAACCUCGGAAAUGCAUUGGAUACUGGCAGACUUGAGUGUGGUAGAGGCAAUCGGAAUUCCAGGUGUAGCGGUGAAAUGCGUAGAUAUCUGGAGGAACACCGAUGGCGAAGGCAGAUCUCUGGGCCGUAACUGACGCUGAGGAGCGAAAGCAUGGGGAGCGAAUAGG